rnacentral:rRNA from 1 species
GAUGAACGCUGGCGGCGUGCCUAAUACAUGCAAGUCGAGCGAACGGACGAGAAGCUUGCUUCUCUGAUGUUAGCGGCGGACGGGUGAGUAACACGUGGAUAACCUACCUAUAAGACUGGGAUAACUUCGGGAAACCGGAGCUAAUACCGGAUAAUAUUUUGAACCGCAUGGUUCAAAAGUGAAAGACGGUCUUGCUGUCACUUAUAGAUGGAUCCGCGCUGCAUUAGCUAGUUGGUAGGGUAACGGCUUACCAAGGCAACGAUGCAUAGCCGACCUGAGAGGGUGAUCGGCCACACUGGAACUGAGACACGGUCCAGACUCCUACGGGAAGCAGCAGUAGGGAAUCUUCCGCAAUGGGCGAAAGCCUGACGGAGCAACGCCGCGUGAGUGAUGAAGGUCUUCGGAUCGUAAAACUCUGUUAUUAGGGAAGAACAUAUGUGUAAGUAACUGUGCACAUCUUGACGGUACCUAAUCAGAAAGCCACGGCUAACUACGUG